rfam:Microgenomates (Woesebacteria) bacterium GW2011_GWB1_38_8 TT08_C0013, whole genome shotgun sequence.
GCUAGGAUGCUGGAACUGGUAGACAGGCACGCUUCAGGAGCGUGUGCUCUUAAUGAGCGUGCGGGUUCGACUCCCGCUCCUAGCA